GAUGAACGCUGGCGGCGUGCCUAAUACAUGCAAGUCGAGCGAACAGACGAGGAGCUUGCUCCUCUGACGUUAUCGGCGGACGGGUGAGUAACACGUGGAUAACCUACCUAUAAGACUGGGAUAACUUCGGGAAACCGGAGCUAAUACCGGAUAAUAUAUUGAACCGCAUGGUUCAAUAGUGAAAGACGGUUUUGCUGUCACUUAUAGAUGGAUCCGCGCCGCAUUAGCUAGUUGGUAAGGUAACGGCUUACCAAGGCAACGAUGCGUAGCCGACCUGAGAGGGUGAUCGGCCACACUGGAACUGAGACACGGUCCAGACUCCUACGGGAGGCAGCAGUAGGGAAUCUGCCGCAAUGGGCGAAAGCCUGACGGAGCAACGCCGCGUGAGUGAUGAAGGUCUUCGGAUCGUAAAACUCUGUUAUUAGGGAAGAACAAAUGUGUAAGUAACUAUGCACGUCUUGACGGUACCUAAUCAGAAAGCCACGGCUAACUACGUG
rnacentral:rRNA from 1 species